CAGAAAUGUUUAAAUUUCGUUGAAAACUUUUAGGGCUAAGAACAAAAUUGUCUGCAUAUUUUUUUUUAGAAUGAGAAUAACACAAAAGUAAACAAAUUUUUAAGUUGAUCACUAUAAAGAAAUAAACAAAGCUGCAUUGAUAUUUACAGAUGUCCUGAAGACACGUGCGAAAUAGCCGACGACAACAUUGAUCGAGUAUGAAGAAAAUCUUCGGCAUUGGAUCAUCCAAGAAAGGCAACGAAGGCCAAAAAGCACCUGCAGGUGGCGGGGGAGGAGGUGGCGGAGGACCUUCAACAAUAGCUGGUCCAGGUGCGAAUUCAGGACCUUCCGCUAAGUUGAGCGCUACUGAACCGGAACACUUGAAAGCAAGGUUAUCACUUGGAGGUGAAGCUGCUAAACCCGUAUAUAACCCACAAAUGGGUGGCAAGUUUCAGAAGGUGGAAGCGAAUUUCAAGGAGAAGAACAUACACGAGCAAGACCUAAGGGCGGAAGAUAUCGAAGAUCUAGAGUAGAUAAAAGAAAAUAUAAUAAAACGUGUUUUCCCCAAGAUCAUCUGCAUUUUGAUAUUCAAUCGCAAGAAAAUCAGUAACAUUGCAGUUCAAGCGUAGUAACACUAGUACACAAUUACAAAUCUUCCAACAGCCAAUUCAACAGGACCAGCAAGAUUACUGAUCAGAUGAACCAUGCAGGUAAACGGGCUUUGCUGCUGCCGUAAGUUUGGGAAAAUACGGCCAAGGGACCCAUUUUCAAGAAGGCGUUUAGCAAGAGAAAAAAGCCUCCGUAAAAAAACUCAUGUAGAAACAACUUUCAACCAAUGUUUUCCGUAUCUAACUGUCGUGAGGCUUCAGUGUCUACAAAGAAAGCUCUACAUUCUCUCCGACUGGGUGCCACCGCUGCCACUUAUUCCACUAUCCCAGCCUAUCCAGAGUGGGGUCAAAUAUCAAAAGCACGAAGCUGACACUUAUGCAGAAUGCCUGGCGACACGGCCGUUGCUCCAUGUAACCCGUAAACACCGGCAGAGCAGGAUACCGUGAAGUAUUCGCGAAAAAGAUGUUACACUCAAACAUUGCGUGGCCGUACCAAUUUAAAUGUGUUCUAGGUGACAUUCCACGCUAAAUAUCCUUAGAAAAACUUAUUAUGCUUUACCUCGGACACAAUAGCAAUUUGUAGUGUCACCCUCUCAAUAGAGCGCUCUGUGACAAAUGAAGUAGAUCAACGUUCACCUCUAGCUAAGUUUGAGCAUAUUUCGCGACAACGUUCAUUUUAUGCAACGCUAUAGCAUACGCAGAUGGAAAUGAGCCUUUGUCCGUCAGAGUUUGGUCCAGUUUAAUUGUUCGAUCCGGCAUUGGAACGUCAACUUCUGAAUAAAAGGACGGGUGUGAGCUAGAAA